rnacentral:lncRNA from 1 species
GAAUUAUUUAAUCCUGCUUUGGCGUUAAGACUGAUUAUUUCUGAGGCAAGAUUAGAGUCCGACUUCAGUUGCAGCAAGGGUGAUUCACUUCAGCCUUCAGAAACUGACAGAAACCUGAGACUUCUGUCGUUCCCGUGAAGAACUGUGAAGAACUUCUAUAUCACGAUUACACAUUUGAGAAAAAUGAAGAGAAUAUUAACUACAAAGGAUUUUUUAAUGGUAUAUUUUAUGAAGGCAAGACAAGACUAUGUAUUUUUAAGGCUCUUACUGUGCUGCUCACUGUAGUCUCAAACUCAUCUCUGAAACCAUGCUGCCUCUUCACAUCAUGAGAAGCUAACAUACAGAUGCAAACCACAACACUCAGCUGAUGGUCACCACAGAAGCCAUAAUUCCCCCAGCAUCAUGUGAAGCUCACAACAGACACAGACCGCCACUUGCUGCUGAUGGUAUUGUAAAACUACAUGGUCUCUGACUUUCAUUUUUGAAUUUUGAUUGUCUGUGUAUAAAAUCAAUUAGAAAUUUAGAUUUUCUCAUGUAGUAUUGGUUUGCUGAGUUAGGAUUAGACUUGGUCAUAUUCAUAAUUCCUUGUUUUCUAUACAUUACAAAAUCAUUUUCUUUGCAUUAAGCAUCACAUACUUAAGAAGCAAAAGACCUAGUAUUAAUAUUCUUAUAUAAUCUUCCCAAGAGUGCCGUCAUUUCUUUUCUCCAACUUCUCUCAGAUUCAUCCCAAGUGCAAACAAACUUCAGAUACUCUAGAUUAAGUGGGAGCACUAAAGCUGACUCACUUCCACAUUCUCUAUCCCUUUCUUCACUACCAAAGUAGAGUAAAAGUAAAUAAAUGAAAAUCAAAAUAGCA